AUACGUAGGGUGCGAGCGUUGUCCGGAAUUAUUGGGCGUAAAGGGCUCGUAGGCGGUUUGUCGCGUCGGGAGUGAAAACAUCCAGCUUAACUGGGUGCUUGCUUUCGAUACGGGCAGACUUGAGGUAUGCAGGGGAGAAUGGAAUUCCUGGUGUAGCGGUGAAAUGCGCAGAUAUCAGGAGGAACACCGGUGGCGAAGGCGGUUCUCUGGGCAUUACCUGACGCUGAGGAGCGAAAGUGUGGGGAGCGAACA
rnacentral:rRNA from 1 species